GACGAACGCUGGCGGCGUGCUUAACACAUGCAAGUCAAACGGAAAGGCCCCUUUGGGGGUACUCGAGUGGCGAACGGGUGAGUAUAAGGGAGUUAACUGUCCCUUGCCUUGGGGGAAAUUCUGGGAAAAGGGGCGCAAACCGGACAGGAAUCCUUGGUGCGAGGGUGGGGGUUGUAAGGUUCCGGCGGUUUUGGAUGAACCUGGGGCUUAUCAGCUUGUUGGUGGGGUAUUGGCUUACCAAGGCUUUGAUGGGUAGCCGGCCUGAGAGGGUGACCGGCCACAUUGGGACUGAGAUACGGCCCAGACUCCUACGGGUGGCAGCAGGGGGGAAUAUUGCACAAUGGGCGGCAGCCGGAUGCAGCAACGCCGCGUGCGGGAUGACGGCCUUAGGGUUGUAAACCGCUUUCAGCAGGGGCGAAGCUUGUGGUGACGGUACCUGCAGAAGAAGCACCGGCUAACUACGUG
rnacentral:rRNA from 1 species